CUCUCACCAUCAGGGGGCACUGCUGCCACUGUCUCACUGCUGAAAGAGCAUUUGAGCACAAGGCCUCCCUCUGAGCCCAGAAUGUGUCCAGGUCCCACGGGGAAAGUACAACAGAGAGGCACUAGCUGUUGGACAAGAGCAUAUCCAGAACUCAAGAUGAGUUUGGCUUUGGCUCCAUCAACAGUCUCCUCCUGACCAGGCGCAAGGUUAAAUACCUGAUAAACUGGCUUAAAGUGAGUAUCUGCAAACAUUCCUGUCUGCCCCCCUAAUGACACCAGAAAGAGGACCACUGGAAAGAGCCAUCAAUAUUGAUUUUUCCCUAAUAAUUUAAGGUUUCGCA